AAAUAUCUUUGAUUCGAUAAAUCGUCUUGGAGAGUCUGACUGAGUUAGUGUUCAUUGAUUUUUCGGGGAUGGAAGGCAUUGGCGACGAUAAUCCAAGGUACCCUCGUAAAUCUUAUACUCCAAUUCCAUAUGGUUUCUCUAACUCUAACUCUAACCCCCAAAGGCAAAGGACUCGUACUCGAAACAUCCCAUUUACUCGCCCAAUUGCCAAUUUCAACCACGAUUAUGAUGAAGAUGACGAAAUGGAUGAUCUCAACGAAGAAACCGAACACGAAGACGGGAACGUAAAUGGGGGUAGUCGUAAUUUCGAUGAGGAGGAAGAUUUCUUGAGGCAUCCGAAGAAAAGAAGGCUGAAGAAUUUGGUUUCGGCAUACGAGUUCUCUCCUCGGGUCAGCCUGUCGGAUUCGGGUCGAAAUUUCUCUAGGGUUGGCGAUGAUGAUUGGACUGAGCAUGGAAUGUUUGUGCUGUUGGAGGUUUGGGGAAAUAGGUUUCUUCAACUGGGGCGGAAGAGUUUGAGGUCGGAGGAUUGGGAAGAGGUAGCGGAGAAAGUUUCUGAGGCUUCGAAGAUUGAGAGGAAAGAGAGUCAGUGCCGAAAUAUGUUGGAAUUAUUGAAGAACAAGUACAAGAAGGAGAAGUUGAAAAUGGAGCAAAUGGGAUUGACAUCUAGCAAAUGGGGUUUCUUUAAGAAGAUAGAUAUGUUAAUGGCUUCUUCUCCAAGACAGGACUAUGGUCUUGCUUGUGGGGUUGAUUCGGGUGAGUUUGUGUUUAUGAAUACAAGGGUCUAUUUGGAUAGGUCGGAUGGGUUUGAUGAGAUGAGGGAUAGUCCUAUGGAAUCAGAGGCGUCUGAGGAUGAAACUGAGGAUGGGAAAGGUGGGAGAGAUUCGGAUAAAGGGUCUUCCUCUUCCGAAUCGUUUAAGGUGUUGACUGAUUCAAUUAAUCAGUUUGGUGAGAUUUAUGGGAAGAUUGAGAAUAGCAAGAGGCACCAGAUGAUGGAGUUGGAGAAGUUGAGGAAGGAUUUUUCUAAAGAAUUGGAGCUGCAGAAGAAGCAGAUAAUGGAGAAGACUGAAGCUGAGAUUGCAAAAAUCCGGAAGGAGGAAGAAGAAGAUGAAGAUGAAGAUGAUGAUGAUGAUGAUGAUGAUGAUGAUGAUGAUGAUGAUGAUGAAGAAGAAGAUGAUGUUGAAGAAGAAGAAGAUGACGAUGAUGGUGAGGCUGAGGCUGAGGCUGAGGCGGUGGUGGAGGAAGACCAGGAUACGGGUGCUUCUGCUGAGGACUUUAGCGACUGAUACGGGUCUUAUAUAUCUACACAUUGGGAUCAUUUAGGCUCAUGGUUUUAAUUGACCAUGGUGUCUAUUUCUUAUGAAGCUCUUAUAGGAAACGAUGAUCUGUUUUUUCUUUUCAAGGUGUUAAUGCCGCCGAUUAGUCCUGAUUUUACUUGUGAUCAAUUUCAAAUGAAACAAUCUUGUUUUGAAUCAGGAGUUUGAGCCCAGAGAAACAUGGUGAUCUGUAUUUUGUCACAACUGCUGUGGUGAAAGAAGCAUCUGCAUUGUGGUCAAGGAAGGGCUUUGCCUAGCGAAACGAUGAGACUUGCUCAAACGGUGAUAAUAUGUACACCCCAUUUGUAAUCUUAUAUCGUGUCAUAUGAAUAUAUGAUGUAUUUACUUUCUUCACUAUAGUUUUUUUCUUAAAAAUUUAUUAUUCAAUCAAUAGCUUCUUGGCAACUUUAAAAUCCUGGUAAGUUGGCAAUAUUAAAGAGCCUAAAGGUUUUGCCGA